GAUGAACGCUGGCGGCGUGCCUAAUACAUGCAAGUCGAGCGAACAGACGAGGAGCUUGCUCCUCUGACGUUAGCGGCGGACGGGUGAGUAACACGUGGAUAACCUACCUAUAAGACUGGGAUAACUUCGGGAAACCGGAGCUAAUACCGGAUAAUAUAUUGAACCGCAUGGUUCAAUAGUGAAAGACGGUUUUGCUGUCACUUAUAGAUGGAUCCGCGCCGCAUUAGCUAGUUGGUAAGGUAACGGCUUACCAAGGCAACGAUGCGUAGCCGACCUGAGAGGGUGAUCGGCCACACUGGAACGGAGACACGGUCCAGACUCCUACGGGAGGCAGCAGUAGGGAAUCUUCCGCAAUGGGCGAAAGCCUGACGGAGCAACGCCGCGUGAGUGAUGAAGGUCUUCGGAUCGUAAAACUCUGUUAUUAGGGAAGAACAAAUGUGUAAGUAACUAUGCACGUCUUGACGGUACCUAAUCAGAAAGCCACGGCUAACUAC
rnacentral:rRNA from 1 species